GAUGUGAUGGCACAAGAUUAGACAAUGUAGUUAAUGAGCUGGAGGCUUGGAUGGAAAUACAUUUUUUCAUAAUCACCAGUGAUGAUACAUAGGAAGCUGAAGGGAGGCAAAAUAAUUCAGAGGUAUCGGUGGGGUCUGAUCCAGUGAGGUAUUCAGCUCUUCCCCUGACGCACCAACUACAGCAGUGGUAACAGAUGAGUGCAGACAUCUUAGCUGGAUGAAGUCCUGUGUGUCUCAGAUUUGACCCCUCUGCCCAACCUGGCAUACACAUACAGUGACAGAAUGAAGACAAUCACUCAUAGAAGGGAUUGGAUUUCUUCCAACGUGGAAUGAGACUUAUUAGAAAGAGGAAGGCCAUACUGGGAUGGUAUAGCAGAAUAAGGAUGUUCUUGGAGCAUCAUGGAUUCAAGUAUUUUAUAUUCCCAUGAUGGGAUUUAAAGGGAAAAAAAUGUGUGGGAGGUAUCUGGUAAUCCCAAGCUACAGGGCUUCUGGUGAUCACCUGGAGGUCGGAAGGAUUCCUUCCUUUACUCAUCUCUCAAUACUGCUUUCUUUGGUGUCUACAGUUUUUUCUCUUUAUCUCUGAAACACUGGACAUUAACCACAGCAAGAGGUGGGACUCUGGCUGUGGUGCAUUGGUCCCCAAACAGUACAUAGAAACUUCUCCGGUAUCUUGACUGAGAGUCUUGCUAUAGACCCAGAGCAAACUGAUGACUUGAUCUGGGAUCAGUAAUGAAUUCUCGCCCCCCACCCCCCAGGUCAGACUGGCAUGAACUGCUGGGGUAUCUUGUCUGCCUGAUACAUAGCCUAGCAGCACCUGCGCCUUUCUUAAUCCAACAAAUUCCAUGACACUGCAGUAGAAAGUCACUUAGUGGAGACUUGGUAUUCCCUACCCUUUAUGUGUGGUAUGCUGGAGGUUUCUCUUUGGCCCCUCCAGUCCCAGAGGCUGUGGUGUCAGAGAGCAAUGGGAGCCCAAAAUUUUGUGAAGCCUUUGGGAAACUGGCUGUCUGCAAAUGCAGGGGAUUGGAUUUGAUAACCCAGGAGGCUCCUCUGAAUCAUCUGUUCUUGUGUUGUACCCUGGUCUCUGUUUCAUUCCCAGACCCGGUGAUAAGAAUAGUUUCCAACAUUCUGCUUGCUUAGAUUUCUGCUACAGUUUUCAUAACCAGUGCCCAUAGCCUCA